UUGUAUACAACUUAAAUGUGCGCCAAUGGUUGAGAUUUAUCCGUGUACACUCCUCGUCAAUUGACUAUUCAUUCCUCCCCUCUCUCCCCCUAGCUGAACUAGAACCCCCUCUCUCUCCUGGCUGAACCAGGUGCCUUAAACCCUAAUCUCUCUCUCUCCUGGCAGAACCAAAUCACAAAGACCCUCUUCCUCUCUCUGUCAAAAAACUUAUUGGGUCCAAAAAUAAUUUUUUAACAAAUCCAAUACCUGGCUAAAUGCCAACAACUUCUUGUGAUGGAGGUUAGAGAGAGAAAGAGGGUCUCUAUGAUGAAGAUGUGCGAAAGAGAGCUGCAAGGGCCUACUGUGAUGGAGAUUAGAGAGAGAGAGGGGGCCUCUGCGCUGAAGACGAAAGAGAGAGGGUUGCAACAGGCCUUCUGAUGGAGAUUAGAGAGAGAGAGAGGAGGGGGGCUCCAUAUUGAAGAUGAGAGGGAGAGAGAUGGUUGCAACGGCCUGCUAUAAUGGAGGUUAGAGAGAGAACCUCUACACUAAAGACGAGAGGGUGAGAGAGGGCUGCAAUGCUUGCUGUGAUGGAGAUUGAAGAGAGAGGGCCUCUACGAUGAAGACUAGAGAGAGAUAGAGGGUUGCUAUGG
rnacentral:lncRNA from 1 species